UUGAAUUUCGGGGUUAUAGGUUGGUCAUGCCUCUGGUAUGUACUGGUCUCACUGAUUCCUCCUUCCUGAUGAGCCGUAAUGCCAUUAAUUUGGCGUUGCGGGGAAUUUGGACUGUUACUUUGAAAAAUUAGAGUGUUUAAAGCAAGCUAACGCUUGAAUACAUUAGCAUGGAAUAAUGAAAUAGGACGUUCGAUCCUAUUUUGUUGGUUUCUAGGAUUGACGUAAUGAUUAAUAGGGAUAGUUGGGGGCAUUAGUAUUCAGUUGUCAGAGGUGAAAUUCUUGGAUUUAUUGAAGACUAACUACUGCGAAAGCAUUUGCCAAGGAUGUUUUCAUUAAUCAAGAACGAAAGUUAGGGGAUCGAAGACGAUCAGAUACCGUCGUAGUCUUAACCAUAAACUAUGCCGACUAGGGAUUGGAUGAUGUUAAUUUUUAAUGACUC
rnacentral:rRNA from 1 species